rfam:Pteropus alecto contig84457, whole genome shotgun sequence.
GGCUCCGUAGUGUAAUGGUUAGCACGUCUGCUUUACACGCAGAAAGUCCUGGGUUCAUGCCCCCGGUGGAGCCA